rnacentral:rRNA from 1 species
GACGAACCGUGCGAACGUUGUUCGGAAUCACUGGGCUUGAAGGGCGCGUAGGCGGUUCAUCAAGUCUGGGGUGAAAUCUUUCGGCUUAACCGGAAAAGUGCCUGGGAUACUGAUGAACUGGAGGGAGAUAGGGGCAGCUGGAACUUCCGGUGGAGCGGUGAAAUGCGUUGAUAUCGGAAGGAACUCCGGUGGCGAAAGCGAGCUGCUGGAUCUCUUCUGACGCUGAGGCGCGAAAGCCAGGGGAGCAAACGGG